rnacentral:rRNA from 1 species
UACAGAGGUCCCAAGCGUUGUUCGGAUUCACUGGGCGUAAAGGGUGCGUAGGUGGUUGGGCAAGCCUGAUGUGAAAUCUCCGGGCUUAACCCGGAAAUGGCAUUGGAAACUGCCCGGCUAGAGUGUUGGAGGGGGGACUGGAAUUCUCGGUGUAGCAGUGAAAUGCGUAGAUAUCGAGAGGAACACCAGUGGCGAAGGCGAGUCCCUGGACAACUACUGACACUGAGGCACGAAAGCUAGGGGAGCAAACAGG